rnacentral:rRNA from 1 species
GAGAGGACGUCCCACACUGGAACUGAGACACGGUCCAGACUCCUACGGGAGGCAGCAG